rnacentral:rRNA from 1 species
AGAGUUUGAUCAUGGCUCAGGAUGAACGCUAGCGGCAGGCCUAACACAUGCAAGUCGAGGGGUAGAGUUCUUCGGGACUUGAGACCGGCGCACGGGUGCGUAACGCGUAUGCAAUCUACCUUAUACAGGGGAAUAGCCCAGAGAAAUUUGGAUUAAUGCCCCAUAGUGUUAUCGAAUCGCAUGGUUUGAUAACUAAAGUUCCAACGGUAUAAGAUGAGCAUGCGUCCCAUUAGUUAGUUGGUAAGGUAACGGCUUACCAAGACAAUGAUGGGUAGGGGUCCUGAGAGGGAGAUCCCCCACACUGGUACUGAGACACGGACCAGACUCCUACGGGAGGCAGCAGUGAGGAAUAUUGGUCAAUGGGCGCAAGCCUGAACCAGCCAUGCCGCGUGCAGGAAGACGGUCCUAUGGAUUGUAAACUGCUUUUAUACAGGAAGAAACCCUCCCACGUGUGGGAGCUUGACGGUACUGUAGGAAUAAGGAUCGGCUAACUCCGUGCCAGCAGCCGCGGUAAUACGGAGGAUCCAAGCGUUAUCCGGAAUCAUUGGGUUUAAAGGGUCCGUAGGCGGCCUUAUAAGUCAGUGGUGAAAUCUCCUAGCUCAACUAGGAAACUGCCAUUGAUACUGUAGGGCUUGAAUUUUUGUGAAGUAACUAGAAUAUGUAGUGUAGCGGUGAAAUGCUUAGAUAUUACAUGGAAUACCAAUUGCGAAGGCAGGUUACUAACAAACGAUUGACGCUGAUGGACGAAAGCGUGGGGAGCGAACAGGAUUAGAUACCCUGGUAGUCCACGCCGUAAACGAUGGAUACUAGCUGUUCGGAGCAAUCU